CACGAGGCCCCGUGGACAUGAAAAGAUGAAGAUAACGCAAACUUCUAAUUUUGUAUUUGUGCCUUCAAAUAAAUGAGGAAUGAAUCUCCAGCUGUGUGCUGAUUGGAGACAUAACGUUAGUGGUUGAAUCAGCUUUGACUUCGUUUGGGACUACUUUCGCCUUCAGAGCGAAACAGACUGGCCUAAAAUGUGCUGUGGGUCAAACCCCAAAAGUUCAGGGAGUGCACCACGUGUGCGGUGGUGGUGCAAUCUUGUCACCGUGUGCAGUGUUGUGGCGUGUCUAUCACCAACCAAAAUCUCACUGGGUAUCGUGUGUGUGUGAAUGGUUGCACCGAUAGUGUGUGAUAAUUGCAUUUUGUGAGUUGAUUCCAGCUGGCCACAGCCCUGUAAAUCUUUACUCUUUUUGUGUGAUCAGCAACAAGUAACCGAUCAUUAAGUGUGCCAGCGCUCAUGUGAUUUUCCUUUUUUUUAGUAAUUUAUUACUUGGAUUAAUAAAGCUUUGUAUUUUGGUACCCACGUCUCCUCCUCUAUUUUGUGGAAAUGAACCUGUAUUGCCUUGAUUAGCACCUGCGAGUGCGUAAAAUUUCCCUGGGUGCAAGUCCUGGGGUGGCGUCGUCCACUGGUGUUAUGGUU